CCCCCAGAGGUGGAGUCUACAGAGGCAGGCAGGCCUCCUUGAGCUGAGAUGGGCUCCACCCAGUUCGAGCUUCCCGGCCACUUUGUUUACCUUCUUAAGCCUCAGCAAUGGCAGGUGCCCCUUCCCCAGCCUCACUGCUGCCUUGCAGUUAGAACACAGAUUGUUGUGCUAGCAAUGAACGAGGCUCCGUGGGCGUGGCACCCUCCAAGCCAGGCACAGGGUAUAAUCUCCUGGUGUGCCAUUUGCUAAUAUCAUUGGAAAAGCACAGUAUUCGGGUGGGAGUGGCCCAAUUUUCCAGGUGCCAUCUGUCCCAGCUUCCCUUGGCUAGGAAAGAGAAUUCCCUGACCCCUUGUGCUUCCAGGGUGAGGCGAUGCCUCACCCUGCUUCGGCUCAUGCUCGGUGGGCUGCACCCACUCUCCUGCACCCACUGUCCUACAGGCCCCAGUGAGAUGAACCUGGUAUCUCAGUUGGAAAUGCAGAAAUCACCCGUCUUCUGCGUCGCUCACGCUGGGAGCUGUAGACUGGAGCUGUUCCUAUUCGGCCAUCUUCCGCUUUAAGUUUUUUAUAAUCUUUUUGGGAAGGAAAGGCCAUGUGAAAACAUGGCGAGAAGACAGUCAUCUGCAACCCAAGGAGAGAGACUUUACCAGACACUGACCCUGCUGGCACCUUGAUCUUGGACUUCCAGUGUUCAGAACUAUGAGAAAUAAAUUCCUGUUAUGUAAGGUGCCCAGUCCAUGGUAUUUUGUUGUAACAGCCUGAGCUGUUGAAGAUGGAUUUUCCUUUCAAGAUCAGAUCUUGGGCCUCAGAGUCAGCCUCACUAUAGAAGGCAAGGGCUAGUCUCAGCUUCCCACAGAAGACUUGGUUUUAUUGGAGGCAAGUUUUGUCUUGCUUACAUUGAGGUUAUACAAAGCAAAACAAAAUUCACAUUUUGUUAAGUGACUACCAUAUGAUCACUCUGAAUUUUAUUUUACCUGUCAUUUCUCGGUAUCAAUAGGUUUUACUUCCCCUUGUUCUGGAUUUCAGUGAUUGAUGACUGAAUACAAUAAAUAUUUAUUGAGCGCCUU
rnacentral:lncRNA from 1 species